rnacentral:rRNA from 1 species
GACGAACGCUGGCGGCGUGCUUAACACAUGCAAGUCGAACGGAAAGGCCCUGCUUUUGUGGGGUGCUCGAGUGGCGCACGGGUGAGUAACACGUGAGUAACCUGCCCUUGCCUUUGGGAUAUCUUCAGGAAACUGGGGCUAAUACCGGAUAGGAGCUCCUGCUGCAUGGUGGGGGUUGGAAAGUUUCGGCGGUUGGGGAUGGACUCGCGGCUUAUCAGCCUGUUGGUGGGGUAGUGGCUUACCAAGGCUUUGACGGGUAGCCGGCCGGAGAGGGGGACCGGCCACCUGGCGACUGUGAUACGGCCCAGACUCCUACGGGAGGCAGCAGUGGGGAAUAUUGCACAAUGGGCCGAAGCCUGAUGCAGCAACGCCGCGUGCGGGAUGACGGCCUUCGGGUUGUAAACCGCUUUCGCCUGUGACGAAGCGUGAGUGACGGUAAUGGGUAAAGAAGCACCGGCUAACUACGUG